CUUGAGAAGCUUAUCCACUUCCUCGGCUAUCGCCUUCUGCCUCUCCGGGGCAUGACUUUGGAUUUUUUCUUUCGUCGGCCGAUGUUUAGGGUCGACUGCCAGAUGAUGUUCCAUGACUUCAGUGUCAAUCCCUGGCAUAUCCGUCGGGACCCAUGCGAAAACAUCCGCAUUCCUUCGGAGAAAAUCCACAAGACGCGUCCGCACCUCCUCCCCCAGGUUGGAGCCAAUUAACACCACAUGCUCCGUGUUCCCAUCAUUCAAAGGGAUCGGUAUUAGGUCUUCGAUUGGACCGCCCCUCUCCUCAGUAAGGUC
rnacentral:lncRNA from 1 species